CCCAGCACCGAAGCCUGUAGCCAUUUGGUUACUAGGCAAUGUGGUGUUUAGGUCGUUCCGCGGAGGUUCUGCUCCACCCUAAGUCCAUCAAUGAGUACGGUAUUAUGGACAUGGCCCAUGGAGGGUGAAAGGCCCGUGGGGGUGGAGAUUCGGUAGGCCAGAACUUCCCUGGGUAGACCUUGGAGUCGGGUUGUUUGUGAAUGCAGCCCAAAGUGGGUGGUAAACUCCAUCCAAGGCUAAAUACUUGCACGAGUCCGAUAGCGAACAAGUACCGUGAGGGAAAGUUGAAAAGUACUUUGAAGAGAGAGUAAACAGUGCGUGAAACCGCUCAGAGGUAAACGGGUGGAGUUGAACUGCAAGCUCUGGGAAUUCAACUGGUGAGUGUGGUUUGAGCUUGGUCAUAUUGGUGGACGUCGGGGUCUGCGUAGAAGCAGGUCUUCGCCUUCGGGUGGGGAUGCGCGANGCACUUAUCAAGUGUUGUGCGCCUCGGUUGUUCCCGGCCAACUCGCUAGUGCACUUUCUCAGAGUGGUCACCACGACCGGCGCCGCUGUUUGGCCACUGUGGUUAAACCGAGUUUGCAUAGUCCGAGUGGCUUUGUAAGGUCGGGAUGGCAGGUAGCUCGCUGACUCUCUUGUGGUUUCGCCAUAAGUGUUGUCUUCAAGUCUAAUCCGCUGACCGUAGUGGUUCUGUGCAGUGUGUCGGGGACGGCGGCUCGAGGUGUGUGCAUGCGUUGCUGCUUUGUUGACUGGUCCGAGUUUGGUUAUUUUGUAGCCUGUUCAAUCAGGUCUGGUAGUAGCUCGAUUUGUUCGGCUGGCGGCGGCGUGUGUGGCAUUGUUCCAAGGGCCAACAGUCUGUGGUGUAGUGGU
rnacentral:rRNA from 1 species